AGACGCUUGGCAGAUAAAUGUAACAAAUUUAGGAUUUGUAGAUGUUGAUAACAGUGUUUU
rnacentral:tRNA from 1 species